rnacentral:tRNA from 1 species
UGCAUUGGCCGGGAAUCGAACCCGAGCCGCCCCCGUCGCAGACGAACAUUCUACCACUGAACCACCGAUGC